ensembl:piRNA 21ur-1129 ncRNA
UCUGUUGUCGAUGGGUCAAUA